rnacentral:lncRNA from 1 species
GCGGGCGCCCCUCCCCCAGCCUCACUGCCGCUUUGCAGUUUGAUCUCAGACUGCUGUGCUAGCAAUCAGCGAGACUCCGUGGGCGUAGGACCCCCGCUCCCCACCCCCGAGCCAGGUGUGGGAUAUAAUCUUGUGGUGCACCGUUUUUUAAGCCCGUCGGAAAAGCGCAGUAUUCGGGUGGGAGUGACCCGAUUUUCCAGGUGCCGACCGUCACCCCUUUCUUUGACUAGGAAAGGGAACUGCCUGACCCCUUGCGCUUCCCGAGUGAGGCAAUGCCUCGCCCUGCUUCGGCUCGUGCAUGGUGCGUGCACCCACUGACCUGCGCCCACUGUCUGGCAUUCCCUAGUGAGAUGAACCCGGUACCUCAGAUGGAAAUGCAGAAAUCACCCAUCUUCUGAGUCGCUCACGCUGGGAGCUGUAGACCGGAGCUGUUCCUAUUCGGCCAUCUUGGCUCCUCCCCUGACAUGAAGAGCACAAAAUUUUAAGACAAAAACUGAAAAAAACUUCCAAGUUUACAAAUAUUUUGGAAAUGUAAGGAGAUAGAUAAGAUUCGAAAGUUACAAUUUCUAUUGAAAACGUCAGUGCUCUAAAUUAUGGCACACAAGAUUUGAAUGAAUCAUAGAGUAGCCAAAUCAUGUAUCCAGAUCUUCUGGAAGACCUGUGGCAGUCUAUUGAAGAAGUGAGCAGUAGGCUUUACAGGAAUUGUGGUGCUGGUAUCUGCUUGGCUUCCAGAGACACCUCAGGAAGGUUACAAUCAUGGCGGAAGUUGAAGGGAAACAGGAACGUCAUAUGGAAAAAACCAGAGCAAGAGAGAGAGAGAACAUGGCGGGGGGGGGGGGGGCAGAGGGAGGAGCCACACACCUUUAACCCUUUUCCUGUUUAAGAAUAAAAAACCCUGCAGCUCACUGCCAA